rnacentral:hammerhead_ribozyme from 1 species
AUUCUGACGAGUCCCAAAUAGGACGAAAUGCGCAUCCUGGAU